UCCGGAUUGGAGUCUGCAACUCGACUCCAUGAAGUCGGAAUCGCUAGUAAUCGUGGAUCAGAAUGCCACGGUGAAUACGUUCCCGGGCCUUGUACACACCGCCCGUCACACCAUGGGAGUGGGUUGCAAAAGAAGUAGGUAGCUUAACCUUCGGGAGGGCGCUUACCACUUUGUGAUUCAUGACUGGGGUGAAGUCGUAACAAGGUAACCGUAGGGGAACCUGCGGUUGGAUCAC
rnacentral:rRNA from 1 species